AUACGGAGGAUGCAAGCGUUAUCCGGAUUUAUUGGGUUUAAAGGGUGCGUAGGCGGUUUGCUAAGCGGGAGGUGAAAUGCCGGCGCUCAACGUCGGAAGUGCCUCCCGAACUGGUGGACUUGAAUGACUCUGCCGUGGGAGGAAUGUGUAGUGUAGCGGUGAAAUGCUUAGAGAUUACACAGAACACCGAUUGCGAAGGCAUCUCACGAAGGGUUGAUUGACGCUGAGGCACGAAAGCGUGGGGAUCAAACAGGAUUAGAUACCCUGGUAGUCCACGCAGUAAACGAUGAUUACUAGCUGUUUGCGAUACAACGUAAGCGGCUGAGCGAAAGCGUUAAGUAAUCCACCUGGGGAGUACGUUCGCAAGAAUGAAACUCAAAUGAAUUGACGGGG
rnacentral:rRNA from 1 species